rnacentral:lncRNA from 1 species
UUGUAAACUAACUCAUCUUUAUUCUUUAGAAAGUGAUGCUUCUUUUUUACCUUUUACAGGAAAGAUGCUUACUAAUACAAAGAGCUCGAUUCACAGGUUAAAAAGACUCAAAUUGGGCUCAAAUUAGACUCAAUUGUAGACCAAAAGGAGACUCAAAGGGAUCCAAAAUUCUAACCAAAUCUGACUCAAAAUCCAACCCAAAAUCAGUCCAAACCAGCUGGUUCACCAUGGACCAAUUGAUCGGUCCACAGGAUUGAGGCACGGCCCAC